rnacentral:rRNA from 1 species
CGACCGGCGCACGGGUGAGUAACACGUAUCCAACCUGCCGUCUACUCUUGGACAGCCUUCUGAAAGGAAGAUUAAUACAAGAUGGCAUCGUGAGUCCGCAUGUUCACAUGAUUAAAGGUAUUCCGGUAGACGAUGGGGAUGCGUUCCAUUAGAUAGUAGGCGGGGUAACGGCCCACCUAGUCUUCGAUGGAUAGGGGUUCUGAGAGGAAGGUCCCCCACAUUGGAACUGAGACACGGUCCAAACUCCUACGGGAGGCAGCAUG